CAUGGGUUAUCGCUAACAGCCGUUGAUUGAUUUUCUCCUAUGUGUUUAUCGGUUAUUUGCUAGUCGUGUUAUGUAGUUAUACACAUUAUCUCUGUACGUUUUCUUAUUAUAUGAUAUUCGCAGCCUUGUCGAUUUGUAUUCUUGUAAAAUUUGGCGAAACAAGAAAUAUGAGCAAGAUGAAAUUUUACAUUGUGACUUUGCUGUUGGUUCUUGCGCUUGUGACAGAAUCUACAUCACAAUUGAUUGGUAGCAGGAAAAGACAUGAACGCGCAUCAGCCAGUCAGGAUCUUCCUCAGUACCGGCAGGCAAUAUCUGAUAACAACUGGAAUAAAAUGUUGCGUCAAAAUGGGAAAUGAAAACUGUUAAAUAGAUGACCAUUUUCAAUGACAAACUUAUAACUGCAUAAAGUGUAUCAAAAAUUCUA